GUUGGUUGAUUUAAAAAAAAGCAAAUAUUAGUUGUAAAUUAGCUUCGUCGAGCGAAACGUGAUACUCCACGCCUCACGAUUUGCGAAGUACGCGCACGUAUAUAGUAGUCUGGUUAUUCCCUUAAACCGGAUACUGGUCUUUGCAUCUUCGCUUUGGGCUUGUAAUACAACUUGAGUUUUUUUACGAGAGAUUACGAAGAUAGGUUUUAUUUGUGGCGUACAUACCUACAUUAUUGUGGCGUACUUUGUUGUUAUUUUUAUUUUAUGUUCAAGCUUGCCUGUUUUACUGGUAUUUCGAGUAUUCUGUAGCGGUUUCUUUUCUUAUGCUAUAGAAAUGUCGCAUGCCACAACGCGCUGUCUACAGUGCCAUAUAGAGCAAUUAACUAAGUGGAGAUUUUAUUGUUCAUAGAAAAGAAUGACGUCAGUUGUAAGUAGGUGCCGUAAGAGGACGUUCGAGUAAGAAAAUUUAAUGGUCGAGGAAUGGGCAGUAGAGCCCUUUUUAAAACACUACCAAAGUCUGACUGUGGUUGCCAACCCGCUUGUCAAUGUUUUCAAUUUGAUGCAUUAGCUUUUGUGUGAUAUUGGAACAUACAUACAAAUGGUACAUACAUACAGACAGAUAGACAAAAUUCUGAAAAUUAUUGUGUUAGCUUCUAUUGAAUUUAUCUCUAUUUUAUUUCUUAUGUCUGUACAUGUCGUCUGUAUGUCGUCUAGUUACAAUUUUAUUAUAUUAUUAAGACAUGCUUUGUUUGUAUAUCAAAUUUCAA